rnacentral:rRNA from 1 species
GAUGAACGCUGGCGGCGUGCCUAAUACAUGCAAGUCGAGCGAACAGACGAGGAGCUUGCUCCUCUGACGUUAGCGGCGGACGGGUGAGUAACACGUGGAUAACCUACCUAUAAGACUUGGAUAACUUCGGGAAACCGGAGCUAAUACCGGAUAAUAUAUUGAACCGCAUGGUUCAAUAGUGAAAGACGGUUUUGCUGUCACUUAUAGAUGGAUCCGCGCCGCAUUAGCUAGUUGGUAAGGUAACGGCUUACCAAGGCAACGAUGCGUAGCCGACCUGAGAGGGUGAUCGGCCACACUGGAACUGAGACACGGUCCAGACUCCUACGGGAGGCAGCAGUAGGGAAUCUUCCGCAAUGGGCGAAAGCUUGACGGAGCAACGCCGCGUGAGUGAUGAAGGUCUUCGGAUCGUAAAACUCUGUUAUUAGGGAAGAACAAAUGUGUAAGUAACUAUGCACGUCUUGACGGUACCUAAUCAGAAAGCAACGGCUAACUACGUG